GCGCACAGCAUGAACACUAAUGGCCGGCUCGAGCAUCACAGCGGCCACACCAGCGGCGCGUCGGCUGGUGUUUUUUGUAAGCAG
rnacentral:sRNA from 1 species